UGAGACUCAAGUAGAACAGUUGGGGAAGCCAGGAUCAAAUUAUCCACCAUAUAAAAGCCAGUUUGUCAAAUCACUCCUUGAGAGGAACACAGAAGAGGAGCAAUUUCGAGUAACAGAUGGAACACACAUGGUGAACGAGUCAAAGCCAACAUCGCAAUCAUCCUCCUUAUGUUAAGUGGCCUGUAAUGUUAUGUCAUACAACCCAGGAGAGCUGUUACAUAUACCAGCACUCACUGAAAUCUGAAUCAACUUUGAUUGCUACCUUUAGUACCACUGAAGCCUGAAAGGCCUUGUGUUGAAUGAGUUCUUUUUUUGUUAUGAAACUUUAAGAAAAACUCUGUCACUGGCCACCCCUGGUGUGUUUAAGAUUCAGAAAUAGAUCUCGCUGUGAGACUUAAAAGACUGCUGAACAAUUGAUGGUACAUUCACAAAAAGAGGGCCGUGAUGGCGAAAGAAAAUGGGCCGGUGAGAAAGGAGCAAGGGAGGCAAGACAAAAGAAUGAGAGGUUCUACAGAGGCUAUUGUGUCUUUAUAUGACAUGAAGGAGGCAAAUACCAGCUGUGUGAAGGAUGGCUCACUUUCAUUAAAAGAAAAGGAUCCUUCUGAGCUUUGAUGUUUCCUCCUCAGGUGUGUCAC